GACAGAGGUGCCGAGCGUUAGGCGGAAUCACUGGGCUUAAAGCGUGUGUAGGCGGACGUCUAAGUACCUUGUGAAAUCCCACGGCUUAACCGUGGAACUGCUGGGUAUACUGGAUGUCUUGAGGUGCUCAGGGGCGAGCGGAACAGAUGGUGGAGCGGCGAAAUGCGUAGAUAUCGUAAGGAAGACCAGUGGCGAAGGCGGGUCUCUGGACAGUUCCUGACGCUGAGGCACGAAGGUCAGGGGAGCAAACGGG
rnacentral:rRNA from 1 species